rfam:Streptococcus sp. DORA_10 Q617_SPSC00266, whole genome shotgun sequence.
CUCAAGGGAGUAGCUGGCAGAAACCUGUGAUAGUGUCGUCAUUCCGAAUUUUAUACUGAAAAGUAUGCUUUCCGGCACUAUCUUAAACAGCGAGACUUGUUAUGAUUAACAGGUCUCUUUUU